UACGAGGGGGGCUAGCGUUGCUCGGAAUUACUGGGCGUAAAGCGCCCGUAGGCGGCUUUCUAAGUCGGGGGUGAAAUCCUGGAGCUCAACUCCAGAACUGCCUUCGAUACUGGAGAGCCCGAGUCCGGGAGAGGUGAGUGGAACUGCGAGUGUAGAGGUGAAAUUCGUAGAUAUUCGCAAGAACACCAGUGGCGAAGGCGGCUCACUGGCCCGGUACUGACGCUGAGGUGCGAAAGCGUGGGGAGCAAACAGG
rnacentral:rRNA from 1 species